UAUAAGAGAAGAACAGAAACAAUUACUUGGGUAGUUGAGUGGGACAGUUUCCUAUUAGCAACAAAAGAAGUGAACGUGCUCUACAAACACAGUUUCUUCUAACUUCUAAUUCUCUGAACAAAACAACAAACUCAACCAUGGCUGAAGAAGGUAUGAGGUCCAAUAGCCCACAAAUCCAGAGGAAUUCAGUUGGCUUGUGUGAAAAACCGACAGAUCAAGAGAAGAAAGACAUUAAAGCUGAAUUGAGUAUGAAGGGAUUGCUAUACUGACUACCACCCAAUGAAUCCAACUGAAUUUGAAGGGAUUACAGAAGGUGUUAAUAUCCCGGAGUAUUUUCCUCUUUCAAUCCAUCCAUUCCCGCAUGUGGUUAAGAAUGAUAUGGAAGCAUAUAUGGCAGCUUACCUAUUUAUUGCUGAUGAUGAAAAUCGUCAUGGGGAGGAAAUACUGGCACAAAGUGAACUUGGGUCGUGGGAUACCGGAAAACCCUUAAGACUCUGAUGCCUGAUUCUCCGGUUGACCAAGCGGUCAUUAAUUUAGUGUGUUGUAAACUAACAUACCAACAAAGAUGUGGUGGAACACCAUCUUUGUGGUACCUACUAGCAAAUUUUGCGCAACAUGCACUUGACUGGAUGCACAAUCCUAAGGCUGACAUGGAGUUUUUUCAGAAUGCCUUCAUGGGAAGAAUAGAGGACGUUCGAAAGGUGUGAUGGAAGAAAGCUGCUUAGACAUAGAGAUGUCUUGAUAAUGUCAAUAUUUUUGGAAGAAAUGUUUUUGGAGAAUUCAUAUUAUGAUUGCGGAAUCAAUUUAGAGAAGCGCAUUAUCUCCAAUUUCUCAGUUGUUGAACCCAGAGGACUCCUAAGUCAGAGAUAUGGAUCUAACGACUCCGGAGUCUGGGUUGCUGCUUGGAUGAAAGAAUGUGAUAGGAAAAAUGACUACAACUGUGUAGAAGUUUAUCCAGAUACAAGGGUUAAACUUGCCAUUGAUUUGGUUCAUAGCAUUUACAAUAUAAAGAUGAGUAAAAUCACUGAAAAAGCAUGCGAACACUGGAAGAAUGUGGAAGAAAAAAAGGAUUCAACUCUCAAAUGGUGGAUGGAUCUGCAAAAAAUCACAUGACUUUGCUUUAAUUCGGCACUUCAGCUUGGACUAAUUUAUUUCAAUGUUUUAAUUUGCCAUAUCAGACUAGACAAUUUUAUUUUAUUUUAUUUUGAAAAAUCUAGACAAUUUUAUUUGAAUGGUUUGAUUUGGCAGUUUAGCCU